UGGCUCAGGACGAACGCUGGCGGCGUGCUUAACACAUGCAAGUCGAACGGACUGGCCUUGAGCUUGCUUGGGGUUGGUGAGUGGCGAACGGGUGAGUAACACGUGAGUAACCUGCCCUCUUCUUUGGGAUAACGGUCGGAAACGGCUGCUAAUACUGGAUAUUCACUCAUUGGCGCAUGUUGGUGGGUGGAAAGAUGCACUUUUGGUGUUUUUGGUGGGGGAUGGGCUCGCGGCCUAUCAGCUUGUUGGUGGGGUGAUGGCCUACCAAGGCUUUGACGGGUAACCGGCCUGAGAGGGUGACCGGUCACAUUGGGACUGAGAUACGGCCCAGACUCCUACGGGAGGCAGCAGUGGGGAAUUUUGCACAAUGGGCGCAAGCCUGAUGCAGCGACGCCGCGUGAGGGAUGGAGGCCUUCGGGUUGUGAACCUCUUUCGCUCAUGGUCAAGCCGCGACUUUGGGUUGUGGUGAGGGUAGUGGGUAAAGAAGCGCCGGCUAACUACGUGCCAGCAGCC
rnacentral:rRNA from 1 species